rnacentral:rRNA from 1 species
CGCGGCCUAUCAGCUUGUUGGUGAGGUAAUGGCUCACCAAGGCGACGACGGGUAGCCGGCCUGAGAGGGCGACCGGCCACACUGGAACUGAGACACGGUCCAGACUCCUACGGGAGGCAGCAGUGGGGAAUAUUGCACAAUGGGCGCAAGCCUGAUGCAGCGACGCCGCGUGGGGGAUGAAGGCCUUCGGGUUGUAAACCCCUUUCAGUAGGGAAGAAGCGAAAGUGACGGUACCUACAGAAGAAGCGCCGGCUAACUACGUGCCAGCAGCCGCGGUAAUACGUAGGGCGCAAGCGUUGUCCGGAAUUAUUGGGCGUAAAGAGCUCGUAGGCGGUCUGUCGCGUCUGCUGUGAAAUCCCGAGGCUCAACCUCGGGACUGCAGUGGGUACGGGCAGACUAGAGUGUGGUAGGGGAGACUGGAAUUCCUGGUGUAGCGGUGGAAUGCGCAGAUAUCAGGAGGAACACCAAUGGCGAAGGCAGGUCUCUGGGCCACUACUGACGCUGAGGAGCGAAAGCAUGGGGAGCGAACAGGAUUAGAUACCCUGGUAGUCCAUGCCGUAAACGGUGGGCACUAGAUGUGGGGCUCUUUCCAUGAGUUCCGCGUCGCAGCUCACGCAUUAAGUGCCCCGCCUGGGGAGUACGG